rnacentral:lncRNA from 1 species
AGCCCCUAGCGCAGACGGCGGAGAGCAGAGAGGGAGCGCGCCUUGGCUCGCUGGCCUUGGCGGCGGCUCCUCAGGAGAGCUGGGGCGCCCACGAGAGGAUCCCUCACCCGGGUCUCUCCUCAGGGAUGACAUCAUCCGUCCACCUCCUUGUCUUCAAGGACCACCUCCUCUCCAUGCUGAGCUGCUGCCAAGGGGCCUGCUGCCCAUCUACACCUCACGAGGGCACUAGGAGCACGGUUUCCUGGAUCCCACCAACAUACAAAGCAGCCACUCACUGACCCCCAGGACCAGGAUGGCAAAGGAUGAAGAGGACCGGAACUGACCAGCCAGCUGUCCCUCUUACCUAAAGACUUAAACCAAUGCCCUAGUGAGGGGGCAUUGGGCAUUAAGCCCUGACCUUUGCUAUGCUCAUACUUUGACUCUAUGAGUACUUUCCUAUAAGUCUUUGCUUGUGUUCACCUGCUAGCAAACUGGAGUGUUUCCCUCCCCAAGGGGGUGUCAGUCUUUGUCGACUGACUCUGUCAUCACCCUUAUGAUGUCCUGAAUGGAAGGAUCCCUUUGGGAAAUUCUCAGGAGGGGGACCUGGGCCAAGGGCUUGGCCAGCAUCCUGCUGGCAACUCCAAGGCCCUGGGUGGGCUUCUGGAAUGAGCAUGCUACUGAAUCACCAAAGGCACGCCCGACCUCUCUGAAGAUCUUCCUAUCCUUUUCUGGGGGAAUGGGGUCGAUGAGAGCAACCUCCUAGGGUUGUUGUGAGAAUUAAAUGAGAUAAAAGAGGCCUCAGGCAGGAUCUGGCAUAGAGGAGGUGAUCAGCAAAUGUUUGUUGAAAAGGUUUGACAGGUCAGUCCCUUCCCACCCCUCUUGCUUGUCUUACUUGUCUUAUUUAUUCUCCAACAGCACUCCAGGCAGCCCUUGUCCACGGGCUCUCCUUGCAUCAGCAGGUUCCCAGUGCCCCCGACAAGCCCCUGCUGGUGUCUCCAUCUCCUGCCAAGCAUCCUCCAGUGCCUCCUCCUGUGGGCCUGGCCUCAGGGCUAUGGACAGACUCCUGUCCCAUCCCAGAGACCCCUCGUGAUCGUGCCCUGGCACGUGGGCCGUGGCCCGGCUGGGUCGGCUGAAGAACUGCGGAUGGAAGCUGCGGAAGAGGCCCUGAUGGGGCCCACCAUCCCGGACCCAAGUCUUCUUCCUGGCGGGCCUCUCGUCUCCUUCCUGGUUUGGGCGGAAGCCAUCACCUGGAUGCCUACGUGGGAAGGGACCUCGAAUGUGGGACCCCAGCCCCUCUCCAGCUCGAAAUCCCUCCACAGCCACGGGGACACCCUGCACCUAUUCCCACGGGACAGGCUGGACCCAGAGACUCUGGACCCGGGGCCUCCCCUUGAGUAGAGACCCGCCCUCUGACUGAUGGACGCCGCUGACCUGGGGUCAGACCCGUGGGCUGGACCCCUGCCCACCCCGCAGGAACCCUGAGGCCUAGGGGAGCUGUUGAGCCUUCAGUGUCUGCAUGUGGGAAGUGGGCUCCUUCACCUACCUCACAGGGCUGUUGUGAGGGGCGCUGUGAUGCGGUUCCAAAGCACAGGGCUUGGCGCACCCCACUGUGCUCUCAAUAAAUGUGUUUCCUGUCUUAACAAAAA